CAAGCAUGAAGGAUUCAGCAGCAGCGACUUAAAAAUCAGGAGGUUUUUAAAAUGGCUCGUUCUCCAGACACCAACAAACAUGAACUUGUUGCCAGAAAAAGGAUGGAUGGUUCUUUUUAGCGCUUGGACUGAUUUUAGAAGCAGUAGAGACUCGGAUGGAAGAACAAAAACAUCCAAAGCGAAUUUUGUUGCCUGAACAUGUGAUCAGAGCAUCUGGACCAGGGAGGUGAAAAGGGGAAGAGAUAAGGAUUAGUCAUUAGUGAGGAAUUUCAGCCUGACCAGGUCCAUGGAGGACUGCAAUAAGACUUCAGACACGAAGACCCUCCCUGCCAGCCAGGGGAAAUAGCUGCAUGCGAAAGGAUCCAUGUAAAAGAUUUACCUAUGCUCAUAUAACAAGCAGAAAAGCUUCAGGAGUGCUCAGAGUUGCACAACAGUGAGCUCCCUUUAUUCCAUUUUACUGGAGUGUGUGGGAUGUGGAGGGUCCACCCAGUGGCCAACACACCCCACAACUUUAAACCCCGUCUCAGUGGCUCCCACCCACAUCUGAUGCCUUAUUAUAUGUGAGCAGGACACACUGACCAUCAUGUUCAUGAAACCUCUGAGAAGCAGGCAUGCUGUUCUUCACAGGCCUCUAGCACUUUCUGAAGAAACCAAAACAAACGCUGCCAACACCCUACAAGGCUGUGGUUGAGGGCGUCUCGCCUCACAUGGAGCUCCAGCAGCAUAUGGCCAACAGGGGGCGCUGCAGCUGGAUUAUCUGGUACUGCUAAGCUGGUGUUCCUCUUUCAUAAAACCUUGUUUUACCUGAAGAACAUCAGCAAACUAAAUAUUUAUUUAAGGUAAUGAAGGACAUCUUGUUGGGACAUCUGACCUGUUCAACGGCCUGAAAGGUUAGAGGUCGCACAGCGUCCAUAUUGGCCUGUUAACUGUACUGGGUCUCUUUAUGGACUGUCAUUUAUGUCCAAACACUGGGAGAGGUGAUAUGGAAGUUUUAUCACAAUAUUUUUUAUCCGAUUUCUCAAUUAAUAAAAUUGUUAUUUGCCGCCUUAAUAUCCUCAUACUUUCUAUCCCGCAGAAGAACAGAUUGAGCAUGUUGAUGUAGUGAACCACAGCUAUUGAGUGUUCACUAACUGCGGUUCAAUCUGGCUUUGUAUCAACCAACAACGUCCACAGGUGGAUCGGUCAUUCAGAAAUGCUUACAGCACACAACCCAACAUAGACUGGCCCCCUCCCUACAGCUUUCCUCAUUCAGGGCUUCAGUUAACUACACCAAAACAAAGCAGGCCUACUUCCUGUGACCCUGUGGGUGCCAUUUACAUCACAUGUGGCCUAAACAAAUUGAAUGUGUACCCUUAAACCUGCCUUUCAUAACUCUACUGGCCAGAGAAAUGCACUCCCCAACAACAAGAAGCCCAACUGAUUUUUCUCCAAUGUUAGGACUGACUUGAAAUAUCUGCACUGGGAGCCGUUUUCCUUGGUCUAUUUUUAGCUGAACACAUGUGGUGUGUGAUUUUUUUUCUUCUGAGCCACAACUGAACAAUGACAAACUAGGUAGUAGUGUAAAGUAGGGCACAAACGCUCUCAGAACUGGUGGCGACCUUUUACAUGUAUACCAGUCAUCUGCUGUAGAGUUAAAUCAAUAGCUUUGUUAGAGCAGGGAAACAGUUCACCAACUGCCAACAGAGUCCUGUAUAAACUUUAGAUAUGAUGAAAUGUGAUUUUAAUUAAAUGUUUUGGUGACAACAGAAGAUGGUAAAUAUUGUACAGGGGUGUUUCUGUUUACUCAGCUUGAUGAAGCUAGAGGCGGGUUGGGCUGAACUGGGAUGGGUCUUCGUUAGGCAACACCUGAGCCGGUGGAGCAUUAGACGAGACGCUGUGGAAGACGGAACCGCAGAGCCGUUCGGAUCCAGGUGAAGCAGAACCGAGGUGCGGCGAUAGUGCGCCGCUUCUGAGGUUAAACCUAAGUUCUUAAUUAUUUACCGUCAUUCUAUUGCUUUAAUCGUAAAAUAGUUCCCAGGUUCAGUUUAUUGACUCAGUUUGUAACAUGGAAUACAGACUGUUCUGAUUCUGAAGAGGAAAAAGUGUAAAUGAUUCACUAGGUUGAUGAUUUUCUACUACAGCAU